rnacentral:rRNA from 1 species
AGUGAACGCUGGCGGUAGGCCUAACACAUGCAAGUCGAACGGCAGCACAGUAAGAGCUUGCUCUUACGGGUGGCGAGUGGCGGACGGGUGAGGAAUACAUCGGAAUCUACUUUUUCGUGGGGGAUAACGUAGGGAAACUUACGCUAAUACCGCAUACGACCUACGGGUGAAAGCAGGGGAUCUUCGGACCUUGCGCGAUUGAAUGAGCCGAUGUCGGAUUAGCUAGUUGGCGGGGUAAAGGCCCACCAAGGCGACGAUCCGUAGCUGGUCUGAGAGGAUGAUCAGCCACACUGGAACUGAGACACGGUCCAGACUCCUACGGGAGGCAGCAGUGGGGAAUAUUGGACAAUGGGCGCAAGCCUGAUCCAGCCAUACCGCGUGGGUGAAGAAGGCCUGCGGGUUGUAAAGCCCUUUUGUUGGGAAAGAAAAGCAGCAGGUUAAUACCCCGCUGUUCUGACGGUACCAAAAGAAUAAGCACCGGCUAACUUCGUG